GACGAACGCUGGCGGCGUGCUUAACACAUGCAAGUCGAACGGAAAGGCCCUGCUUUGGUGGGGUGCUCGAGUGGCGAACGGGUGAGUAACACGUGAGUAACCUGCCCUUGACUUUGGGAUAACUUCAGGAAACUGGGGCUAAUACCGGAUAGGAGCUCCUGCUGCAUGGUGGGGGUUGGAAAGUUUCGGCGGUUGGGGAUGGACUCGCGGCUUAUCAGCUUGUUGGUGGGGUAGUGGCUUACCAAGGCUUUGACGGGUAGCCGGCCUGAGAGGGUGACCGGACACACUGGGACUGAGAUACGGCACAGACUACUACGGGACGCAGCAGUGGGGAAUAUUGCACAAUGGGAGGAAGCCUGAUGCAGCAAAGCAGCGUGCGGGAUGACGGCCUUCGGGUUGUAAACCGAUUUCGCCUGUGACGAAGCGUGAGUGACGGUAAUGGGUAAAGAAGCACCGGCUAACUACGUG
rnacentral:rRNA from 1 species